rnacentral:tRNA from 2 species
GGCUGCAUGGUGUAACGGAAAGCACACAGCGCGCACAUUUGGAGGAACAGGUUCAAGUCCUGUUGCAGCCA